UUAUUUGAUUUUCUUCGGAACUGAAGAUUUGGUGAUUGAGUGGCGGACGGGUGAGUAACGCGUGGGUAACCUACCCUGUACAGGGGGAUAACAGUCAGAAAUGACUGCUAAUACCGCAUAAGACCACAGCACCGCAUGGUGCAGGGGUAAAAACUCCGGUGGUACAGGAUGGACCCGCGUCUGAUUAGCUGGUUGGUGAGGUAACGGCCCACCAAGGCGACGAUCCAUAGCCGACCUGAGAGGGUGACCAGCCACAUUGGGACUGAGACACGGCCCAAACUCC
rnacentral:rRNA from 1 species